rnacentral:rRNA from 1 species
ANAGUUUGAUUCUGGCUCAGAACGAACGCUGGCGGCGUGCUUAAUACAUGCAAGUCGAACGAGAAAAUCCGGCUUCGGUUGGAUGAGUAAAGUGGCGAACGGGUGAGUAACACGUGGACAAUCUGCCCUUAAGUCCGGGAUAAUCUUCCGAAAGGAGGUCUAAUACCGGAUGUGACCGCAACCUGGCAUCGGGAGGCGGUUAAAGGCGGGGCAACCUGCCGCUUAUGGAUGAGUCCGCGCCCCAUUAGCUUGUUGGUAGGGUAACGGCCUACCAAGGCGACGAUGGGUAGCCGGCCUGAGAGGGUGACCGGCCACACUGGGACUGAGAUACGGCCCAGACUCCUACGGGAGGCAGCAGUAGGGAAUAUUGCGCAAUGGACGAAAGUCUGACGCAGCAACGCCGCGUGGGUGAUGAAGCAUUUUGGUGUGUAAAACCCUGUCAGUGGGGAAGAAACGUAAAGAGAGUAACUGCUCUUUGCCUGACGGUACCCACAGAGGAAGUCCCGGCUAACUCCGUGCCAGCAGCCGCGGUAAUACGGGGGGGACUAGCGUUGUUCGGAUUUACUGGGCGUAAAGGGCGUGUAGGCGGGCCUUCAAGUCGGAUGUGAAAACCGGUGGCUUAACCACCGGCCUGCAUUCGAUACUGUUGGUCUUGAGUACGAGAGAGGAAAGCGGAAUUCCAGGUGUAGCGGUGAAAUGCGUAGAUAUCUGGAAGAACACCAGUAGCGAAGGCGGCUUUCUGGCUCGAUACUGACGCUGAAGCGCGAAGGCUAGGGGAGCAAACAGGAUUAGAUACCCUGGUAGUCCUAGCGGUAAACGAUGGG